rnacentral:rRNA from 1 species
AGAGUUUGAUCCUGGCUCAGGACAAACGCUGGCGGCGUGCGUAACACAUGCAAGUCGGACGGGGUUAUGCGAGGGUAGUGAUACCCUGGUGUAGCCGAGUGGCGGACGGGUGAGUAACACGUGGAUAACCUGCCCUGGUGUGGGGGAUACCCUGUAGAAAUACGGGCUAAGACCGCAUAUGGUCGCUUUUGGGGAGCCGA